rnacentral:rRNA from 1 species
CCUACGGGUGGCAGCAGUGGGGAAUAUUGGGCAAUGGAGGAAACUCUGACGCAGUAACGCCGCGUGCAGGAUGAAGGUUUUCGGAUUGUAAACUUCUGUCGCGAGGGAUGAAGAAUGACGGUACCUCUUAAGAAAGCUCCGGCAAACUACGUGCCAGCAGCCGCGGUAAUACGUAGGGGGCGAGCGUUGUCCGGAAUUAUUGGGCGUAAAGGGUGUGUAGGCGGAAUAGUAAGUUAUGUGUGAAAUCCCUCGGCUUAACCGCGGAAUUGCACAUAAAACUAGUACGCUGGAGUGCUGGAGAGGAAAGUGGAAUUCCCGGUGUAGCGGUGGAAUGCGUAGAUAUCAGGAGGAACACCAGAGGCGAAGGCGACUUACUGGACUGUAACUGACGCUGAGGCACGAAAGCGUGGGGAGCAAACAGGAUUAGAUACCCGAGUAGUC